ncrna:Pseudomonas putida W619 C4 antisense RNA
CUUUAUGGCAGCUGUGCAUGGGGCACUUCGUGUGCGCCGGGUUUUGGUUUGCCUACCGGUCUGUCAACCCAUGUACAGCUGCCACCCUC